rnacentral:rRNA from 1 species
UACGGAGGGUGCAAGCGUUAUCCGGAUUUACUGGGUUUAAAGGGUGCGUAGGUGGAUUGGUAAGUCAGUGGUGAAAUCUCCGAGCUUAACUUGGAAACUGCCAUUGAUACUAUCAGUCUUGAAUAUUGUGGAGGUCAGCGGAAUAUGUCAUGUAGCGGUGAAAUGCUUAGAUAUGACAUAGAACACCAAUUGCGAGGGCAGCUUACUACACAGUUAUUGACGCUGAGGCACGAAAGCGUGGGGAUCAAACAGG